CUAUUUUGCCUCGACCAUGCGGUCUCCACUCUUUCCCUCUUCUUCUCGAUCUCUAGUGAGAGCACCAUGUGACCUCUCGCUGGCAUACGCACUCCCCUCUAGGUGAAUGUGCUUCCAUCAAGGGGCCCCGUGGCGGUGUUGUGGAAUCUUGUGGCAGUGUCCUGGUCGUCAGAGAUGGCCCUCUUCUCUAUCCUUAUCGUCGAUGAUGAACAAGUCUUAGGUAAGAUGUCC
rnacentral:lncRNA from 7 species